rnacentral:rRNA from 1 species
GACGAACGCUGGCGGCGUGCUUAACACAUGCAAGUCGAACGGAAAGGCCCUGUUUUUGUGGGGUGCUCGAGUGGCGAACGGGUGAGUAACACGUGAGUAACCUGCCCUUGACUUUGGGAUAUCUUCAGGAAACUGGAGCUAAUACCGGAUAGGAGCUCCUGCUGCAUGGUGGGGGUUGGAAAGUUUCGGCGGUUGGGGAUGGACUCGCGGCUUAUCGGCUAGUUGGUGGGGUAGUGAGUUACCAAGGCUUGGACGGGUAGCCGGCCUGAGCGGGUGACUGGCCACAUAGGGACGGAGUGACGGACGGCACUCAUUCGUGCGGGAGGAAGGGGGGGUGAAGAACGAAGGGCGGGCGAAAGACUGAGCAACGCAGGGUGCGGGAGGGCGGCAUUCGGGUGGUAUGCAGAUUUCGUUUAUGACGGAGGGUAAUGACAGUAACUGGGUAAAAAGGCACGGCUAACUUAGUU